CGGCGGCGGUGGCGGCGGGACUGCAUGAACUGGCCGAGGUGGUCCUCGCCAAACAAGCGGGCGGCAGCAAGGUGCUCCCCACGGUGAGGAACGGACGCGCUCAACGCCUUCCUUCCCAACCAGAUAUGAGAAAGAAGAAAUAGGACCAAGAAAAUUAUUUGCUCAUAUAUUCAUGUGUCGUGCGGAGAAGAACCCGAAUGAAGAACUUGGUAUGCCGAGUAAUGUGCAGGUACAGAAUUAUCAUCAUAGCAAAUAGAAUUAUCUGCAUAUUGUUUGGAGGAUAACAAUUCCUCAAAUUGGCUCAUUUAAUUUAUACUGUACGCCCAGUUAUUGUUGUCUUGGUUACUCGAUUUGUCCAAACUACAAAAUACAUAUUAUUUUCAGUCAUGUAUAUUCGUACUGGCUUAACUAAUUAAUGAAUUCAUCAAAUGCCCUUGCUUAUGAUAGUAUCUCUUUGGCAUUUUCCUCUGCAUGCUUUUUUCUAGGCUAUCUGUCUUUCCAUACCCUGCUCUCCUUGCUUAUUUUAUUAUUAGUCGAAUAUAAUAUCAGAUCACCUACCAUCAUUAUUCUUUAUUACAAUCUCAUAGGAAAGAAGUCUGAUUAGUUGGGUAUUCUUAGCUAGCAUUCAAAAUGGGAUGUUGCGCCGCCAUUAAAUGAGCAUAAAUAUAAAGAGAAGGUGCACACAAAGUGGAGGCUUAGAUUAAUGCUUUAGAGUUUAGCCUGAAUA